GAUAUGCAAAGUGGGUCAUGUAUGAACACAUCUAGUGAGAACUUCGUUACUUAAAUAAAAAGACAGCUAUAAAACUGUACAAAGACUUUCAUAAAAAGCAAUUUUUUCCCUAUGUUCUCUAAUCACUGAAGGUCUUUAGUUAGUUUUACUGAAUAUUUAAACACAAUUUGAUUUUCUUCUAGAGAAAAAAUACUUUAACAAAUGGGUUUUAAGGCUUUACUGUGUAUUACUAUAAGCAUAUAAGAAAAGGACCCUGACUUCAACAAGACUACAUGCAUGCUUAGAGUUACACAUAUGUGUAAAUGCCAGGCUGGAUCAGGGCAUACAAGUUUUGAGCAGGCAAGUCACGGAUUAAAUUCCAGAACUGUUAAAGAUUCUUUGCUUAACAGCUGGAGAGUGUUUUCCUCUACUUGUUCUGAUAGGAUGGCUGACCUAACCUGCAGCAAUGCUCUACAAAAACCACAUGGUAUUUAAAAAAAAAAAAAUAGAACCAGAAUUUAAGCGAACAUCAAGUCCACUCUUUUCAGCUGCUGCCUUUUUUUCUUCUGCUUGGUGAAGCAGGUCCACUGCAGUAAAUACCUUAAUAUUUUCUCCUACAUACAGCAUUACAUUGUAUGAUGCUCCUUUAUGCCAGCUGAAUUCCGUACAAGGCUGAUUUGCACAUUUUGAACAUUAAGUGCAAGUUAGACGGUAGAAACAAUAGAUAUUAAACACGUUAGUGCUGGUCAGUAGGUGGCAGGGGCUGACAAGAGAUUAUUAUGAUGCCUCUGGUUAAAAAAAUAAAAUAAAAACCCUCAACAGUUUAACUGUUUCACAACUUAAAGACAGAGCUAUGAUCCCUGACAGUGCACAUGACACGCUGCAGAACACACUUGGGACAGUCUGAGGCAGAAUGCUAUUGGCACAACACUUGCCCAAACUAGAAAAGGGAUUAAAAUCGUCAAGGGUGAAAAUCCACACUAGGGACAAGGGAACAGUAGCCUGAUGACAAGUGCAUUGACAGACAGUUAAAGGACUCACAACCAAUGAAAAAAGUAGCAUCUGAAAAACCAUCAGGACUCCAUAGAGAGAGGAAAAGGGACUCCCAGGAAGGCAGGAUUCUCUUUAAGCAAUGCCUGAGUUGUAUUUUUUCACCCCCUUUUCUUUUAGAUACUGGUGGGUUUCCAGUCUCCCAGCAACCCUUGGAAGAAAUGCAUGAGUGGCUUGGACUAGGGCUAGAUGGAAUUAAACCCUCAACAGCCCUGCACAUAGAUUGGAGAAAAGCCGCAUUAAGGUAAUAUUUGUCAAACAUUUUGACUGCGUCGUUUAAUCAAUGACUCUUGUAUUCCAAACUAAAUUCUUAAAAUUAAGAACUUACCAAUGGAAAGGCAUUUGCAUUUUCUCACACACGAAAUUUCACUACCCUCACCCCUUUUGCAAGCAAAUAUCAGCAAAAUGGGGGAUCUUCGCCCUCAAGGAGCAAAAAAGCACCAGGCUUCAAGCGGAACAACCACUGCACAACCAAAUUGGCGUCUCCUUACAAAACUGAUUUCAACAGAGCCUCACCAAGACGAGCAACAGGGCCUCACAUUGGCCUUUGCUAGGGAAAUAGCAAAUGUAAAAACUCCCCAUUGUUAGUGUGACAGUUUCCAAAGUGCCAAAAAGGAGUUACCUGG